rnacentral:lncRNA from 1 species
UUACAUAACACGAUUGGCCCCACCAAGUGAUUGUGAGCUACACCGAACUCGGACAACAAGGUGAGCUCCGUCACGGAAGAUGGACACUCCACUUACAAAUCAUGCAUCUCCUACGACUUUGUUGCUCCCAGAUACGACAUGGUUGCUCCCAGAUACAGUGUUGUUGGUCCCAGAUACAGUAUUGUGGCUUCCGGAUACGGUAUGGAAACUCCCAGAUACAUUAUUGUCAUUCCCGGAUACGGCAUUGUUGUUGUCAGUUACGAUAUGUUUGUCCCCAGAUACGACAUGGUUGCUACCAGUUACGGUAUUGUCGCUCCCGGUUACGAUAGUGUUGUUGCUCCCAGCCACAUUGUUGUUGUUCCCGGAUAUGACAGUGUUGUCGUUCCCAGAAACAACAUUGGUGCUCCCAGAUCUGACAGUGUUGUUGCUCCCAGAUAUUGUAUUUGGUUGUUCGUCGAGCAUUCUUCUGUUAGGCUUCACAUACAAUGGCAUGUUAGUAAAAAUCAUACCUGAUGAACGACCAGCGAUGGCGAGGCCCUUGAGCCGUAUCAAACUCUUG